rnacentral:snoRNA from 1 species
UGGUCAUAUACCAAGGCUUUCAGGACUCGCCGUUCCUGACUUGCUGUGGAGUUGACCAGAAAACAAAGCUCAUCCCGGUGGGCUUCUGCAGCAUCCUGCUGAGAAGAACU